rnacentral:rRNA from 1 species
AAUGAACGUUGGCGGCGUGGAUUAGGCAUGCAAGUCGAGCGAGAACCCCGCAAGGGGGGACAGCGGCGAAAGGGACAGUAAUGUGUAGAUUAUCUGCCCUCAGGUCCGGGAUAGCUGCGGGAAACUGCAGGUAAUACCGGAUAACAUCUCCGGAUCAAAGGUGUGAUUCCGCCUGAGGAUGAGUCUGCAUCCUAUUAGCUAGUUGGUGGGGUAAUGGCCUACCAAGGCAUUGAUGGGUAGCAGGUGUGAGAGCACGACCUGCGUCAUUGGGACUGAGACACGGCCCAGACACCGACGGGUGGCUGCAGGCGAGAAUCUUCGGCAAUGGGCGCAAGCCUGACCGAGCGACGCCGCGUGUGGGAUGAAGGCCUUCGGGUUGUAAACCACUGUCAGAGGGGAUGAAAUGCAGGUGGGUUCUCCCAUCUGUUUGACAUAGCCUCAGAGGAAGGACGGGCUAAGUUCGUG